rnacentral:lncRNA from 1 species
CUGCUUUAGAUCAAUUAUCCUAAGUCUAGGCCCAUUAAAAGCAUACCCCUUCUAAUGUGCACAAUCUAAGCUCCCACAAUCUACAACCCCAGACUUUGCAAACAUAGAUUGGUAGAUAGAUUGAUAAGGUGGAUAGUUUGAUGGAUGGCACAGAGAGUUUGAGGGCUAUCAUCAGCGGUGGAGGUCAGGUGGGUCUCUGAGCUAAAGGACUACAUUUUCCCUCCC